AAAGCGCACUGAUCCUUUUAAAAUAGAGCCGUGGAGCUCCCCUUGUCUAGAGAGGGAACACAAUGCUGAAAGAAAAGGGCAGACAGCAGCAAAAUGUGUAUGAGGUCAUUUGUGUUAAUUACACACAAAAAUAUGUGACGACAAACAAAAGCCCAUAGAAGUGGCCCGAAUGGACCGAAGGAUGUCAGCCUAGCGCAUACAUCCUGACUGCACACGCGAGACUGGAGAAAGAAAGACAGCCUUGAAAGCAAUCUGAAGGACCUGUGUGACCACACUGGCCCAAGAUGAUCUAGAUAACAUCCCUACCUUAAAAUCAGCUGAUGCAUGAAGGUAACUCCAUCUAGACUUCAAGCCUCCCUUGCCACAGAGCAUACAUCUACAGGCUUUGUACAUCUUUGUACCACAGGUCUUUAUUUUGCCUGGCGCUAUUGUGCUAAAUGGAAUCUAUUAUUAAAAUUAAUUUCACCUGUC